rnacentral:rRNA from 1 species
AGUGAACGCUGGCGGCGUGCCUGAUACAUGCAAGUCGAACGGAGAUUAAGUAGCUUGCUAUUUAAUCUUAGUGGCGCACGGGUGAGUAAUAUAUAGCUACCUUGCCCAUUACUAAGGGACAACAGUUGGAAACGACUGCUAAUACCUUAUACUCCGUAUCUAUAUAAGUAGAUACGGGAAAGUUUUUCGGUAAUGGAUAGGGCUAUAUCGUAUCAGCUAGUUGGUAAGGUAAUGGCUUACCAAGGCUAUGACGCGUAACUGGUCUGAGAGGAUGAUCAGUCACACUGGAACUGAGACACGGUCCAGACUCCUACGGGAGGCAGCAGUAGGGAAUAUUGCUCAAUGGGGGAAACCCUGAAGCAGCAUCGCCGCGUGAAGUAUGACACUUUUCGGAGCGUAAACUCCUUUUCUUGGGAAAGAAUUAUGACGGUACCCAAGGAAUAAGCACCGGCUAACUCCGUG